CCCGCUGAACUUAAGCAUAUCAAUAAGCGGAGGAAAAGAAACCAACAGGGAUUGCCUCAGUAGCGGCGAGUGAAGCGGCAACAGCUCAAAUUUGAAAUCUGGCUCUUUCAGGGUCCGAGUUGUAAUUUGUAGAAGAUGCUUUGAGUGUGGCUCCGGUCUAAGUUCCUUGGAACAGGACGUCAUAGAGGGUGAGAAUCCCGUACGUGACUGGGUGCCUUCGCUCGUGUAAAGCUCUUUCGACGAGUCGAGUUGUUUGGGAAUGCAGCUCAAAAUGGGUGGUAAAUUUCAUCUAAAGCUAAAUAUUGGCCAGAGACCGAUAGCGCACAAGUAGAGUGAUCGAAAGAUGAAAAGCACUUUGGAAAGAGAGUUAAACAGUACGUGAAAUUGUUAAAAGGGAAACGCUUGAAGUCAGUCACGUUUGCUUGGACUCAGCCUUACUUCGGUUUGGUGCAUUUCCUUGCAGACGGGCCAGCGUCCAUGUUGUUUGCCGGAGAAGGGGUUGAGGGAAUGUGGCUCCUUCGGGAGUGUUAUAGCCCUCACUCGUAUGCGGGGAGUGAUAUGGAGUGACACAGCACGCUUCGGUGGUGCUUGUGCUGGCAUAAUGGCUUUAAACGACCCGUCUUGAAACACGG
rnacentral:rRNA from 1 species